rnacentral:misc_RNA from 1 species
AAAAAAAUAUGGAUUAAUCAUCAAAUGGUCACAAAUCACAAAGAAAAAUGAUCAACUCAGUCCCAUAUCUAGGCCUGUUCUAAAGUAUAUCAUAAAUUCACAAUCACACCAUUCCCAUUGUUCACAAGCAGAAAUUAAGAUCAACUGAGAACCCGAAUUAAGAGAACAUGCAGCAGGUGCACAUGUAAUGAGGAAAUCAUUAGGCACUAGGCACCAGCAAUGAGCGAGGAGCAAGACAGAAACACCAGCAGCCACAGAGGCGCAUGAGGUGACCAGCAGCAAGCGAGGGGCCACAAAAAGAACCACAGCAACAGAGGUGUGAGAGCUUGAAGGAGCGAGAUUGAGAAAGAGGGAAAUAAGCACUGGCAAGGAGGGAAGAUAAGUGGAUUACAGGACCUGUUUAGGGAUUUUGAAUGGACUGAGGUAGAGGCACUGAUCACUACUGACCCCUCAGAGAACGAUAUACAGCACUGUGAAUUCUAUUACUUUUCAUGAAUUCUCAAUGGUUGCAGUCGUGAUUCUUAGUGGCCUUGUCCUUUCCUGGUCACCACUCCGUCUCCAGAAAGCCCUUCUCCACCAAACCUCAAAUCCUCUUUGUAUAUUUGGACAGUCUUCACCAGAGUUCAAGAAUCUAUUAAACCAAGCCAGUAAAAUCUCUUGCUGCCAAGCUAGAGGUAGAGUUAGAAUUGUGUUACUAAGACCAUCCUCAAUUAGAUGUCGAUCAAGGCCUUUAGAUGCCCUCCUCAUCCACCCAAAAUCAUCAUAAAAUGGCACCAACCAUGUCUGUAAAAGCAAGCACCUCACUUCCUUUGAAGCCAACAGUUGGCCCUUUCCAAUCCCAACAAACAGCCUUGCUGUAACUCUGCUAACC